rnacentral:lncRNA from 1 species
ACGUACUCAACAAGUCCAACCCCAUCCACGGAGGGGAUACAAGCAAGAUUAUGCACAAGUAUAACAAGGGUAGGCUAGGGUUUAUUUUGCGGAAAAGCUAAUUUUUAACACAUGCAGGGGAUCAUUUUCGAAAGGGUUUUUGAAAAGUUUCCUUUAAUACCCGAAAUACUGAGUGGGGUUGAUCCUACACAAAGGAUCCAAGUUUUUAUCGCUAUCGGACUCCCCGUCCGUCAUAGCGCACGGCACAACUGCCGGACUCUUCUGAAAUUCCACACACACACACACACACUCAUGACAUCCUUGCCCAAACACUAGUUAUGUGACCAAGCCGUAAUUCGUCCAAUUCCGUGGACACGGCUACCCGGAUAGGUUUUAACUCUGCAGAGGGUGUACACUUUUCCCACAAGUAGGGUACCGUAGCACAAUCACCUUAGUGACGGUACGGAUCCUAACAAAGCCAUUACCCACCUUAGCUAAGACUGGCUAGUUCACACGGAACACCCAAGGGGUCCACGGCUCAUUCAGGAGACCGUAACCGGGACUCAAGUCACCAAGAUCUUAAUCCUUUUCCGUGGGUUCCCGUUGCUCACCAGCACUCCUGAGGACUAACCAUCCAGCUAGUGGGAUUUAUGCUAAGCCGUUGCCCAUACAACGGUCGAGUGGUUGCACGAUAGUGGAAUUAGGCAAGAUGACACAUUAACUCGGUCCUUAAUUACGACCGGAUGGAUAUCUCCCAACAUUGCUCAACCACCAAGGUACGAGCACAACAACUGGGCAUCCCACACAAGGAACACCCAUCCAUCCCGUCCACACAUUUCUUUUCCCGAACCAAAAAGCCAUUAUUCUUACUUGGACACACACACACCUUAAUUUCCC